CCAAGGUACUGGCAGAUGAAGACGUCAGAGUACUUCAGAGUCACACAGAGAGGAGGCCUACAGCUUGGAAGUCAUGGAUCUUAUAGCUUGAGAAGCUUGCUGUUUGAGUUUGAUACCCGGGACAACCCCAAGGGGCUCUGUGACCUCUGUCCCAGCCUGGAGAAGCAACUGUUAGUGUUCCCGGGACACAAGUGUGGGAGUCUGCAACUUGUGGACCUGGCGAGCACAAAGCCUGGCACCUCGUCUGCUCCAUUCACGAUCAAUGCACAUCAGAGUGACAUAGCCUGUGUGUCUCUAAACCAGCCAGGCACUGUAGUGGCCUCAGCCUCCCAGAAGGGUACCCUUAUUCGCCUCUUUGACACACAAUCCAAGGAGAAACUGGUAGAGCUGCGCCGAGGCACUGACCCUGCCACCCUCUACUGGUGAGCACAGGGUAUGCAUGGUGGGCUGGUGACCCCAUACCACAUGACAUAUGGGCAUCACUGCUGAUCUGUCUUCUAGCAUUAACUUCAGCCACGACUCCUCCUUCCUCUGCGCUUCCAGUGAUAAGGGCACCGUCCAUAUCUUUGCUCUCAAGGAUACCCGCCUCAACCGCCGCUCCGCGCUGGCUCGCGUGGGCAAGGUGGGGCCUAUGAUUGGGCAGUACGUGGACUCUCAGUGGAGCCUGGCGAGCUUCACUGUGCCUGCUGAGUCAGCUUGCAUCUGCGCCUUCGGUCGCAAUACUUCCAAGAACGUCAACUCUGUCAUUGCCAUCUGCGUAGAUGGGACCUUCCACAAAUAUGUCUUCACCCCCGAUGGAAACUGCAACAGAGAGGCUUUCGACGUGUACCUUGACAUCUGUG
rnacentral:sRNA from 1 species